GUGGCAUAUAGAAGUUCCCAGGCCAGGGGUCAAAUCUGAGACGUAGCUGUGACCCAUGCUACAGCUGAAUGCAAAUUACAAGUCAUUGCAAUAAAUCUGGAGAUAAGUAAAGACAAAAGGAAAACAAGUGGGGAUCCUGCAACUGACCACAGCGUGACUAAUACCUCCUCCAAAUAACCCAAAGGGAAUAGUCAGCCCACAAAUUAGAGGUUACUUGAAUGAAGACAGAACCUCUCCUGACAGAAAGGCUCUUCUUUCCGACAAUAAAGCACUCAGUGGCUGAGUCACAUAAUAAGAGGUGAAUGACAGGUGAUACAAGCCAUGCUCACUGCCUCUCGGCCUAUAAAUCACGCUGCUAUUACGGGAGGUUAAAACAAAUGGGAGCAAUGGGAGAUGCGCAGGGCGAGAGGUUGUGGAACUCCACACAUGCCUGCAGCCGAGUUUCUAGACCUUGGGAGGCAGUGGGUGGAAUGGAAACAGAGUAACCUCUGGAGGUAGACCGUCUGGUCUGAAGCCCAGGCCCUGCCAUUUACCAAGACGGUGGCCUUGGGAAAAGAUCUCAGCCUCUGUAAGCCUUGGUUUUCUCAUCACCAAGAUGAGUCUAAUAACAUCUUUCUCAUUGAGCUACUGGGAAGGGUCAAUAGUUUAUGUAAAAUUGAUUGGCAUGAAAUUUGGCACAGAGAAGACUCCCAAUAAAGGAACUCCUUUUAGAAACAUUGGCAAGCUGAUUUCUCAGUGUGGGGCCCGCUGCUCUAGCCUGUCCUUAUCUCUCAGGAAUGCAAGGAGGCAAAGGGGAGAGAGAAGGCAACAGGAUGGGAGACUGCGGGGGACUCAGAGGAACCUUUGCGCAUAAUACUAGGACCCAUCUCACGGGGUUGUGUGGAGGGUUAAAUGAAAUACUAUGUCUGUGCCUAGCCCAGUGCCUGGCACAGCACCGUCCGCACGGGGACUCCUCUUACUUCUUCUGAACAAAAGGAGACUGGUGCCGGCUGGGCGAGGACAAAGGGGAAAGAAACUAUGGCGUCCCUUUGGCUGGCCCCCGUCUUCUCAGUCAUGUAGAGCAUGGGGUGGGGGGGGCUUGCGGUCUUGGGGGAAGUCACAGAGGCCUGACACUGCUGCCAUGGCAAGCCCCGCCUGCCUCAGAUCAUGCCUGGAAAGUUCUUUGGGCUCCAGAAGAGAACGAUGUCCCGUGUGUGUUCGAGUUGCUAUUAUUUUGGAAGCCAAAUGCCAGGCUUUGAAAUGCAGCCAGCCAGCCUCUCUUCAAUAUCUAGUUCUGUUUCCACAGCACAAGAAGAAAGAAGCCAACUGUUUAUAUGCAGUAGUAUUUCUGGUAACUGAACUUAUUAGUUUAAAAGGCAAUAUUUACCGAGCUCACAAAAUAGCAUCGUUUCUGUCCACAGAGACCUGUUUUAAUUAAAGCUCUACCUUUAAAAUUCAUUAAAGUAAUCAGUUCUAAGAGAUUAGGAGCCCGCAUAUUGGAUUUCCACAUGCAAGUGCCACACAAUCCCUCCGCGGGCGCAGGAGGCACUGGCUUCAACAAUUGCGGAGGUCUCUCCUUUCAUUUGAUUUCAGUUUUAUUUAAAGGCACUGGCAGACUAGCCCCAGGACUCGCACUUUUUUAUUCGGCCUGAGCAGCUCGGGUGCCCACUGUGUAGAUCACCUCAUUAUUGUCGUCACUUGGGCAGAGUCGUGACUCAGAAACCGGCUCUCCCAGGGCCGAGGGGACGGGAAGGGGAGGUAGACAACAGAGAGAUGAAAUGCCACCCUGUCCCCCUGCCACGGAGAGGCUCUGCUCUUGCGCCCUGGCCCUGGCUGAGCGGGAAAGAGGGACCGCUGGAGGAGCUGGGGUGGGGGGCAGCCGAGCGGGUCAUGUGAUCGUCACAACAGCAGCUGCAACCCAACAACUGCCACGGCUACAACGCCUGGAGCGCUGCCUGUGCGCUGGUCUCCACGUUCUGCGCUUUGAGCCACUCAGCAACCCUAUGAGACGGGCGCUCUCCGCAUCCUCAUUUCACUGAGGCUCAGGGAGGCCAGAGCCCACGUGGAGAGGAAGCUGCGUGGCUGGGCGAUGACGGCCUCGGCGGCCACUUUCCGCGUGUGAGCCCUCGGACGUCACUGCCCUGAGCUUUGCUUGACUCCUAUACAAAUGAUCACGUCCAGCCGACCGUGCUAUGGCAAGGAUCCCCCGAGGUACAACGAGUACAGCGUUCAGCACAAGCCACCCACGGAGGUACACACUCAAUGCCGGGCAGCAAUUCCAAUCAGGAGACGUGAAGCCGCGCAUCCAAACAUCAGAGAGCCUCAACUACCCCCCUGCAACCCAGAUUGGGAGACCAGAGUCGGUGGCAGGAAAGGGGGCCUGUAGAGGGAAGACGGCUAGGGUGUAACUGGGGUGUGGCUGAGCUCCCCAGUGCGCUGUGGCAGCAGAGAGCCGGCAGCCUCGCUCCUCACUCGCAGCGGAAGGGGAGUCGAGGUUUCAGGGAAGGGGCUGAGGUUGGGGGCCCCAAUCCAUGAGACCGAGGAGGCAACAGAUGGGCUCUGAAAGGGGCCUCAGCCCCAUCUCCCUGGAAAACAAGCUGUCCCUGCCAGACGCAGACACUAAGAAGGGCCCUUGGUGGAAAUCUCAUCCAACCUCCUCAGUGUCCACGUGGGGACGUGAGUGAGUCUAUUUUAUGUCCAGAAAGCAGGUAUCUACCGUGAAGUUCAAGAUGGUCACCUAGCUAUGUGGUCCUGACAAAAUUACCUAAUCUCUAUGCGUGAAUUUCCUCAUGGAUAAAAGGGCACGUCUUUCACAGGGUUUUCCAAGGAUUAAAGGAGAAAAGGCCUAUAGAACCCUGAGCCCGGUCCUUGGCACCUGCAAAACGUCCAAUACAAAUUCUCUGGCAUUUGACUGCUCCAUCACAGUCGUCUUCUCUGCCACCCCUGAGCCAUCCUCUAAGCUGGUUUAGGUGCCUACUGCUCACACCUGGCACUUGUGACCAGUGGGCCCUUCCUGCUAAUGCUCACACGGUCAGGUGUUUAUUCUGGGGGGCACUGGAAAACAGAGGCCCUGUUUCAGUGUUCCUGCAUAGGAAGCCCCUUGGGGAUAACUGAACCCCCAGAAGGAUUAGCCCCAGGAGUCCCCUCUGGGUGGGCCUUCCUCACCAGCUAUGGCUUCUUCUGCUGGGAACACUGAGCCGGGCCUCCCCCAGGCUUGGCAUUGGGCAGCAGCAGGCUCCUAGGCUGCCGUUCUUGGCUGCCCCGUGCCCACCCCUGAACCAGACACCGCAGGCACUGAGCGGGACGCGGAGACCACAGUGGUACACGGGAUGCAGGCUGUCUCGGCCCCCAGUGAUCACAAGCAAUACUCAGUUGGGCAAGAAGUAACAACAGAAGGUGAUUCGAGCUAUUCACAAACAUAUUGGCUGGACUGCAUUUUUGUGCCAAGUCCUAUGCUCAGUGUUAGGAAAAUGCUGGUGAUUCCAAAGCAGACACCCUUCCUGACCAUCAGGUGCUCCCACUCCAGUGGAGGGGCCGGCAGAACUGCAAGUACAUACUUCCCGUUUUAAUCACUUACUUGGUGUAGGUGAUGGCAAGAAAAGAAAGAGAUUGCUAAGAGGGCAGAUAACAGAGGCUCGGCCCAGCUUGGAGGAUCGCAGGGGAAGUGACACUCGGUCUGAAUGCUCAAGGAAGUAGUUUUCUAGGCAGGGGCAGUAGGAGGCAGGCUGGUGGAUGGAAAAAUGAUGAGAGGCAGAGGAAAGCCCGCGACAGGGUGAAGCAGUUGAGCCACCGCUAGUGAGCCUGGGGGCGAGCAGCUGAAGGCAGAGGGGUACAGGAUGAGGUGAUGAGGUCAGUGGCCCCCAGUCGCGUAAGGCCCUUCGUCCGGAAUGAGGAGACUUGCUUUUAGGGACGACGCGGAGUUGCUGAUGGAGUCGAAGCCAGAGAGUCACGUGACUGACGCAGGUUUUCCAGAGCUCCGGCUGCCGCGUGGGGAACGGACUGGGGGAGGAAGGCGGAGCAGCACAGGAGCGCCGAGCCCUGUUCGGAGGUGACUGUCCAGUGAGAGGGGAUGGGGGCUUGGCGCCGGGAGAGGGAAUGAGCGCGACGGAGCAACUUGAGGGAGA
ensembl:lncRNA